GUUAGAUGUAACUCAUAUAUAUAUAUAUAUAUAUAUAGUUUUCCUAAAUAGUUCUUUCACCAAGGCCCAAAACUGCUACAAGCAAACUUAAUUUACACCUGGUUUUAACAGGUGGACAAAACUUUGUUCAGAAAUGCCCAGUAGACCAAAUGUUUUACAUAAAAAAAAAAAGUCAUCAGCCAAACUUCAAAUCUCUCCAUUGUUUGGUGCCAGCGUCCAACUUUUUGCACGAUUUUCCCUCAAAUGCAUAUGCAUGAGAGGAGAAGUACACUUUUUACAUCUAAAAACAGGCAUAUAAAAGCUUACUACAUCUGGCUCUCAGUCUUUUGAUGGGACAUUGUUCAUUUUUCACUUACACACAUACAGUGCUUUGCUCCAUCCUGAUUUCUUCUGUUUUUGUGUAUAUCUCAUACUAUUGAUCUCAUUCGUUUGAAGAUCUAAAACUAUUUAGCAUGAGAUAUACACAAAAAGAGAAGAAAUCAGGAUGGGGGAAAAUACUGUUUCACAGCACUGUAUAUAUCAUCUUAACCCAACAGCCAAACCAGAGGAGUGGGGCUGAAGGUUCAGGACAGAGAGCAGACACAUCCAUUUCUUUCUUGUCGUAACGCGAGCUUUCCCUGGUGCGCCUUGCGCUGGGCCCUCCAGUCCAUUGGGACGCUGCUGGAUCAAGUAUCGAGCUAAAGCUCAUAAGAAAGGGAUUAAAGAGGCAGCCCAUUGGAGACUGCCUCAAUGACUGGAAAACAGAAGAAACACCCCCCACAUCCCCCUUUUAAUUAAACAGGCUGAUUGGGUUUCUAACGAUCCACCGAGAUAUGACAGCAGACAGGAGGGAAAUUUGAGAAUCACACAGAGGCACAUGAUGUAUUCCUGAGAGAGAACCACUAAGUGGUCUACGUUUUACAGACAACAGGAUGAAUACAAGGAGCAAGACUGCAAGACAAAAUGUUGUGGGCAGGUCAGUCCAUCUCAAGUGGUCCAAAAAUUGUAAAGUUGGUUGCUUGAUUGUUUUUAAUUUUUCUAAAUGUAUGGAAAUUUGAGUGAUUACUUCUAGGCAUUGGCAUUGCAAAACCAUCACUUCAUUUUUUUUUCUCUUUUACUUGGUUUAAUGACAACGGCCAGCUUUGUGUCAUGGCACACAACACAUUUUGGUUAAACAGCUGUUUACCUUAACCUCAAUAU
ensembl:lncRNA